GCGUAACGCGUGGGAAUCUGCCCUUGGGUACGGAACAACAGUUAGAAAUGACUGCUAAUACCGUAUAAUGACUCCGGUCCAAAGAUUUAUCGCCCAGGGAUGAGCCCGCGUCGGAUUAGCUAGUUGGUGAGGUAAAAGCUCACCAAGGCGACGAUCCGUAGCUGGUCUGAGAGGAUGAUCAGCCACACUGGGACUGAGACACGGCCCAGACUCCUACGGGAGGCAGCAGUGGGGAAUAUUGGACAAUGGGCGAAAGCCUGAUCCAGCAAUGCCGCGUGAGUGAUGAAGGCCUUAGGGUUGUAA
rnacentral:rRNA from 1 species